CUACGGGUGGCUCCAGUGGGGAAUAUUGCACAAUGGGGGAAACCCUGAUGCAGCAACGCCGCGUGGAGGAUGACACAUUUCGGUGCGUAAACUCCUUUUAUAUGAGAAGAUAAUGACGGUAUCAUAUGAAUAAGCUCCGGCUAACUCCGUGCCAGCAGCCGCGGUAAUACGGGGGGAGCAAGCGUUACUCGGAAUCACUGGGCGUAAAGAGCAUGUAGGCUGAUAAAAAGGUUAGAAGUGAAAUCCUGUGGCUUAACCAUAGAACUGCUUCUAAAACUCUUUAUCUAGAAUAUGGGAGAGGUAGAUGGAAUUUCUGGUGUAGGGGUAAAAUCCGUAGAGAUCAGAAGGAAUACCGAUUGCGAAGGCGAUCUACUGGAACAUAAUUGACGCUGAGAUGCGAAAGCGUGGGGAGCAAACAGGAUUAGAUACCCCAGUAGUC
rnacentral:rRNA from 1 species